rnacentral:rRNA from 1 species
GAUGAACGCUGGUGGCGUGCCUAAUACAUGCGAGUCGAGCGAACGGACGAGAAGCUUGCUUCUCUGAUGUUAGCGGCGGACGGGUGAGUAACACGUGGAUAACCUACCUAUAAGACUGGGAUAACUUCGGGAAACCGGAGCUAAUACCGGAUGAUAUUUUGAACCGCAUGGUUCAAAAGUGAAAGACGGUCUUGCUGUCACUUAUAGAUGGAUCCGCGCUGCAUUAGCUAGUUGGUAAGGUAACGGCUUACCAAGGCAACGAUGCAUAGCCGACCUGAGAGGGUGAUCGGCCACACUGGAACUGAGACACGGUCCAGACUCCUACGGGAGGCAGCAGUAGGGAAUCUUCCGCAAUGGGCGAAAGCCUGACGGAGCAACGCCGCGUGAGUGAUGAAGGUCUUCGGAUCGUAAAACUCUGUUAUUAGGGAAGAACAUAUGUGUAAGUAACUGUGCACAUCUUGACGGUACCUAAUCAGAAAGCCACGGCUAACUACGUG